rnacentral:rRNA from 1 species
GACGAACGCUGGCGGCGUGCUUAACACAUGCAAGUCGAACGGAAAGGCCCUGCUUUUGUGGGGUGCUCGAGUGGCGAACGGGUGAGUAACACGUGAGUAACCUGCCCUUGACUUUGGGAUAACUUCAGGAAACUGGGGCUAAUACCGGAUAGGAUCUCCUGCUGCAUGGUGGGGGUUGGAAAGUUUCGGCGGUUGGGGCUGGACUCGCGGCUUAUCAGCUUGUUGGUGGGGUAGUGGCUUACCAAGGCUUUGACGGGUAGCCGGCCUGAGAGGGUGACCGGCCACAUUGGGACUGAGAUACGGCCCAGACUGCAACGGGAGGCAGCAGUGGGGAAUAUUGCACAAUGGGCGGAAGCCUGAUGCAGCAACGCCGCGUGCGGGAUGACGGCCUUCGGGUUGUAAACCGCUUUCGCCUGCGACGAAGCGUGAGUGACGGUAAUGGGUAAAGAAGCACCGGCUAACUACGUG